GCUAUUUUCCGACUCCGAGCCUGUUUUCCUAAGUCGUCAGAUAUGGAAACUGUGCCUGUAACGCUGUUACACAGGGAUUGCCGAGAAAUGGGCCGUCCUCUCCCUUUAGAAAGGUGUCAAAUGCAAAGUAUC
rnacentral:ncRNA from 2 species